GGGGUGCUAGAUUCCUUUGUUCGAAAAUAUAAGGACACAGAUAGUGUCGUAUAGCCAGCUGGAGACGAUGUCUCCUGGGGCUAACUUGCAGCAACAUUCGUCCUAAACCGGGACUGCCAUGUUUUGUUGGCAAACAAUUUUUACUCCAAAGGAUAUUUCUGUUAUAA